rnacentral:misc_RNA from 1 species
ACACACACACACACACACACACAUAAUACACCCGCAGUAGACGGCCUCUGCGCCCCUCUCCCUCUUGCUACACGCGCCUUCAUACGACCCGAUGAUGGGUAUCAUGGUGUGGUGUUUCUCUCCGUUGCGCGUUUGCGCACGUUCUGUGACUGCCAUCGCUUCCAGCUUUUCCGUGCCAUGCUUUAUAGUUGUACUGGACGUCUCAUCACUUUUCUGUGUCGUUUCAUACAUGUAUGUAUAUACCUGUUGUGUGGAUGCGUGCACUUGGGAUGCCGGUGCUGUCCCUAGCGUCGCAUGAUUUGCCGUCGCCGUCGCCGCCCCGCUCCCGCCGUCUUCUUCCCGGGCCGGCAUUUCAGCUCCCUCGUCCAUCUCGCUCGCUCGCUCUAUUCCAUGCGCCGCGCAAAGCAUGUGCGGAGGCCCCUCCCCAUGCCGUCGCCCGCACCGCCGCGGACAAGAGGGCCGCCGGCUUCCAUGAGAAAACAAUAGGUGAGCUGGAAGUUGGCGUGCCGUCUUUGCUUUCCCAUUCACCCCCCCCUUUCUUUCUCUGUGGUUGGUCUUCUUCCUGCUCUCCAUCGUGAUGUGCCUCGAUGCUUAUCCGGUACUCAUUCGAACCAUGUUUUUUUUUUAUGUCAUUUUUAUUUUACAAAAAUUCACCUUUCUCCCUAUGCCGCUCUCUCCCGAUCGGAUCAGCGCUGGCUGUGACAUCGCUGCUGGCGACGGUGCAGAAGACGACAGAGAACAAAACCUGUGCGUCUCUGUGCACACAUGGGGUGUGCAGAGGGAGGGGAGACUCAGAGCAUACGUUCGCCCAGUGGUGAAGAGAGGACGGAGUGCGAAAGUGUCAUGAAACGAGGAGCUGGAGAUGCCGGUCCACUGUUGAGGGAAGCUGUUCUUUGACUUUAUGCCUCCUGGCGCGCACACACACACACACACACACACACCCUCAAACACGUGCGCGACAUCUUCUUUCACCGGGUACGAAGGGGGAAAGAGAAGCACAGAGAAAGAGAUGAUCAAACUAACCAUGGCGCGCAGUGACGUGCGGUGAGUAAGAGCAGCAGCUGCUGCAUCGACGAACACGCCAUCACCAAACCCGACCGUUCGGGGACUUGCAUGUGUGUAUACAUGUGUGUGGUGUCGCGCCUUUUGCCUUUCUCCUUUUUUUUGUUGCCGGGUUUGGCGGCCCAACCGCCCUUUUUCUGUGUCGGGCUUUGAUGGCGCAUGUGCGGUGCGUUGUGGUUGUGGUCGUUUACGUUUUUGCUUCCCCAUGCUGGUGUUUGCGACGCUUCCUCCAUUUUUUUCAGCUUUUCUGUUCCGUGUGCGUUUGCGUGUCCGCAUUUACCUGUAUAUGUGUAUGAACGUGUAUCGCAGACC